rnacentral:rRNA from 1 species
GACGAACGCUGGCGGCGUGCUUAACACAUGCAAGUCGAACGGAAAGGCCCUGCUUUUGUGGGGUGCUCGAGUGGCGAACGGGUGAGUAACACGUGAGUAACCUGCCCUUGACUUUGGGAUAACUUCAGGAAACUGGGGCUAAUACCGGAUAGGAGCUCCUGCUGCAUGGUGGGGGUUGGAAAGUUUCGGCGGUUGGGGAUGGACUCGCGGCUUAUCAGCUUGUUGGCGGGGUAGUGGCUUACCAAGGCUUUGACGGGUAGCCGGCCUGAGAGGGUGACCGGCCACAUUGGGACUGAGAUACGGCCCAGACUCCUACGGGAGGCAGCAGUGGGGAAUAUUGCACAAUGGGCGGAAGCCUGAUGCAGCAACGCCGCGGGCGGGAUGACGGCCUUCGGGUUGUAAACCGCUUUCGCCUGUGACGAAGCGUGAGUGACGGUAAUGGGUAAAGAAGCACCGGCUAACUACGUG